ACAGUGGACGCGAGCAUCUUUGUAGUCAAGUUAUUAAGAGCAAACGGUGGAUGUCUUGGCACCAGGAGCCGAUGAAGGACGUAGAAGACUGCGAUAAGCCUCGGGGAGUUGUCAAUCGAGCUGUGAUCCGAGGAUUUCCGAAUGGGGAAACCCAGCACCAGUCAUGUGGUGUUACCCGCGCCUGAAUAUAUAGGGCGUGUGGGGGGAACGCGGGGAAGUGAAACAUCUCAGUACCCGCAGGAAGAGAAAACAACCGUGAUUCCGUGAGUAGUGGCGAGCGAAAGCGGAUGAGGCUAAACCGUCUUUGUGUGAUACCCGGCAGGGGUUGCAUUGACGGGGUCGUGGGACGUCUUGUCCAGGUCUGCCGGCCUGGAGCGAAGUCAAAAAUGCUUGGGUUAGGGGAACCUGUCUGGAAAGCAGGACCGUAGUGGGUGAGAGUCCCGUACCUGAAAACCGAAGCACUUCGUUGGGAAUGUUCCCAAGUAGCAGCGUACUCGUGAAAUUCGCUGUGAAUCUGGCGGGACCACCCGCUAAGCCUAAAUACUCCCUGGUGACCGAUAGCGGACUAGUACCGUGAGGGAAAGAUGAAAAGUACCCCGGGAGGGGAGUGAAAGAGUACCUGAAACCGUUUGCUUACAAUCCGUCAGAGGCUUUAGGGCUGAUGGCGUGCCUUUUGAAGAAUGAGCCUGCGAGUUAGUGGCAUGUCGCGAGGUUAACCCGUGUGGGGAAGCCGUAGCGAAAGCGAGUCUGAAUAGGGCGACGCAGUGGCAUGUUCUAGACCCGAAGCGGUGUGAUCUACCCAUGGCCAGGGUGAAGCGACGGUAAGACGUCGUGGAGGCCCGAACCCACUUAGGUUGAAAACUGAGGGGAUGAGCUGUGGGUAGGGGUGAAAGGCCAAUCAAACACCGUGAUAGCUGGUUCUCCCCGAAAUGCAUUUAGGUGCAGCGUCGCAUGUUUCUUGCCGGAGGUAGAGCACUGGAUGGUCUAGGGGCCCCACAAGGUUACCGAAAUCAACCAAACUCCGAAUGCCGGUAAGUGAGAGUGCGGCAGUGAGACUGCGGGGGAUAAGCUUCGUAGUCGAGAGGGAAACAGCCCAGAUCGCCAGCUAAGGCCCCUAAGUGUGUGCUAAGUGGGAAAGGAUGUGGGGUCGCUUAGACAACCAGGAGGUUGGCUUAGAAGCAGCCACCCUUUAAAGAGUGCGUAAUAGCUCACUGGUCAAGUGGUUCUGCGCCGACAAUGUAGCGGGGCUUAAGCACACCGCCGAAGCUGUGGCAUUCCGUCAUGAGAUUCCCUUCGGGGCAGUCGACGGGAUGGGUAGGGGAGCGUCGUGCAGCGAGCGAAGCGGCGGAGUGAUCCAGCCGUGGACGCUGCACGAGUGAGAAUGCAGGCAUGAGUAGCGAAUGACGAGUGAGAAACUCGUCCGCCGAAUGACCAAGGGUUCCUGGGCCAGGUUAAUCCGCCCAGGGUAAGUCGGGACCUAAGGCGAGGCCGACAGGCGUAGUCGAUGGACAACGGGUUGAUAUUCCCGUACCCGUGAAAGUUCGUCCCUGGUGAGGCCGGUGAUACUAACCGCCCGCGAAGCCUAGUAGCCUUCGGGCAAACGGUGGAGUGCGCGGGAUCUGAGCCGGUAGUAGCCAAGCGAUGGGGUGACGCAGGAGGGUAGCUCCGCCAGGCGUUGGUUGUCCUGGUGUAAGCGUGUAGGGAGUUUGGUAGGCAAAUCCGCCAAACACAUAUCCUGAGACGUGAUGCAUAGCCGAUUGAGGCGAAGUAGGGUGAUCCCAUGCUGCCGAGAAAAGCCUCUAGCGAGAACUUUCGUGGCCCGUACCCCAAACCGACACAGGUGGUCAGGUAGAGAAUACCAAGGCGAUCGGGUGAACUGUGGUUAAGGAACUCGGCAAAAUACCUCCGUAACUUCGGGAUAAGGAGGGCCAAGGCACUUGAAGCCCCUUGCGGGCUAGGGUGAAGUGGCCGCAGAGACCAGGGGAAAGCGACUGUUUACUAAAAACACAGGUCCAUGCGAAGUCGCAAGACGAUGUAUAUGGACUGACGCCUGCCCGGUGCUGGAAGGUUAAGAGGACCGGUUAGUCCGUAAGGGCGAAGCUGAGAAUUUAAGCCCCAGUAAACGGCGGUGGUAACUAUAACCAUCCUAAGGUAGCGAAAUUCCUUGUCGGGUAAGUUCCGACCUGCACGAAUGGCGUAACGACUUUCCUACUGUCUCAACCACAGGCCCGGCGAAAUUGCAGUACGAGUAAAGAUGCUCGUUACGCGCGGCAGGACGGAAAGACCCCGGGACCUUUACUAUAGCUUGGUAUUGGUGUUCGGUUCGGCUUGUGUAGGAUAGGUGGGAGACUGUGAAGUCAUGACGCCAGUCAUGGUGGAGUCGCUGUUGAAAUACCACUCUGGUCGAAUUGGAUGUCUAACCUCGGGCCAUGAUCUGGUUCAGGGACAGUGCCUGGUGGGUAGUUUAACUGGGGCGGUUGCCUCCCAAAGAGUAACGGAGGCGCCCAAAGGUUCCCUCAGCCUGGUUGGCAAUCAGGUGUUGAGUGUAAGUGCACAAGGGAGCUUGACUGUGAGACCGACAGGUCGAGCAGGGACGAAAGUCGGGACUAGUGAUCCGGCACUGGCUUGUGGAAGCGGUGUCGCUCAACGGAUAAAAGGUACCCCGGGGAUAACAGGCUGAUCUUGCCCAAGAGUCCAUAUCGACGGCAUGGUUUGGCACCUCGAUGUCGGCUCGUCGCAUCCUGGGGCUGGAGUAGGUCCCAAGGGUUGGGCUGUUCGCCCAUUAAAGCGGUACGCGAGCUGGGUUUAGAACGUCGUGAGACAGUUCGGUCCCUAUCCGCCGCGCGCGUUGGAGACUUGAAGAAGGCUGUCCCUAGUACGAGAGGACCGGGACGGACUAACCUCUGGUGUGCCAGUUGUUCCGCCAGGAGCAUGGCUGGUUGGCUACGUUGGGAAGGGAUAACCGCUGAAAGCAUCUAAGCGGGAAGCUCGUUCUAAGAUGAGGUCUCCCACCCUCUUGAAGGGUUAAGGCCCCCAGCAGACCACUGGGUUGAUAGGCCAGAGAUGGAAGCUCGGUAACGGGUGGAGUUGACUGGUACUAAUAGGCCGAGGGCUUGAUUACAA
rnacentral:rRNA from 1 species